UGGCAGGUCUGUUCUUUCACUGACAUUAGU
rnacentral:piRNA from 1 species